AUUGAACGCUGGCGGCAUGCCUUACACAUGCAAGUCGAACGGUAACAGGUCUUCGGAUGCUGACGAGUGGCGAACGGGUGAGUAAUACAUCGGAACGUGCCCGAUCGUGGGGGAUAACGAAGCGAAAGCUUUGCUAAUACCGCAUACGAUCUACGGAUGAAAGCAGGGGACCGCAAGGCCUUGCGCGAACGGAGCGGCCGAUGGCAGAUUAGGUAGUUGGUGGGAUAAAAGCUUACCAAGCCGACGAUCUGUAGCUGGUCUGAGAGGACGACCAGCCACACUGGGACUGAGACACGGCCCAGACUCCUACGGGAGGCAGCAGUGGGGAAUUUUGGACAAUGGGCGAAAGCCUGAUCCAGUCAUGCCGCGUGCAGGAUGAAGGCCUUCGGGUUGUAAACUGCUUUUGUACGGAACGAAAAGACUCUGGUUAAUACCUGAGGUCCAUGACGGUACCGUAAGAAUAAGCACCGGCUAACUACGUG
rnacentral:rRNA from 1 species